rnacentral:rRNA from 1 species
UACGUAGGGUCCAAGCGUUAUCCGGAAUCACUGGGCGUAAAGCGUGCGUAGGCGGCGAGUUAAGUGAGGUGUUAAAUCGUGUGGCUCAACCAUACAGAUGCAUCUCAUACUGGCUCGCUAGAGGACGGCAGAGGCAAGUGGAAUUGGUAGUGUAGCAGUGAAAUGCGUAGAUAUUACCAGGAACACCAAUGGCGAAGGCAGCUUGCUGGGCCGCCCCUGACGCUGAGGUACGAAAGCGUGGGGAGCGAACAGG